rnacentral:rRNA from 1 species
GUGGGGAAUCUUCCGCAAUGGACGAAAGUCUGACGGAGCAACGCCGCGUGAGUGAUGAAGGUCUUCGGAUUGUAAAGCUCUGUUAAUCGGGACGAAAGAGCCUAGUGUGAAUAAUGCUAGGAAGUGACGGUACCGGAAUAGAAAGCCACGGCUAACUACGUGCCAGCAGCCGCGGUAAUACGUAGGUGGCAAGCGUUGUCCGUAAUUAUUUGGCGUAAAGCGCGCGCAGGCGGAUCUGCCAGUCUGUCUUAAAAGUUCGGGGCUUAACCCCGUGAUGGGAUGGAAACUACAGAUCUAGAGUAUCGGAGAGGAAAGUGGAAUUCCUAGUGUAGCGGUGAAAUGCGUAGAUAUUAGGAAGAACACCAGUGGCGAAGGCGACUUUCUGGACGAAAACUGACGCUGAGGCGCGAAAGCCAGGGGAGCGAACGGGAUUAGAUACCCGGGUAGUCC